UGAGUAAUGUCUGGGAAACUGCCUGAUGGAGGGGGAUAACUACUGGAAACGGUAGCUAAUACCGCAUAACGUCGCAAGACCAAAGAGGGGGACCUUCGGGCCUCUUGCCAUCAGAUGUGCCCAGAUGGGAUUAGCUAGUAGGUGGGGUAACGGCUCACCUAGGCGACGAUCCCUAGCUGGUCUGAGAGGAUGACCAGCCACACUGGAACUGAGACACGGUCCAGACUCCUACGGGAGGCAGCAGUGGGGAAUAUUGCACAAUGGGCGCAAGCCUGAUGCAGCCAUGCCGCGUGUAUGAAGAAGGCCUUCGGGUUGUAAAGUACUUUCAGCGGGGAGGAAGGUGUUGAGGUUAAUAACCUCAGCAAUUGACGUUACCCGCAGAAGAAGCACCGGCUAACUCCGUGCCAGCAGCCGCGGUAAUACGGAGGGUGCAAGCGCUAAUCGGAAUUACUGGGCGUAAAGCGCACGCAGGCGGUCUGUCAAGUCGGAUGUGAAAUCCCCGGG
rnacentral:rRNA from 1 species